AAAACCUGAUCACGUAGAUCCUGCUAAAUUUUUAGCUUCUUUAAUAUUACUAAUUUAGAUCGUCUUCAAGCUGAAUAAUCUUGCAUUUGAUAUUUCUUUUGGUUAUAAUUUUGUAUUCUUUCUUUGCAGCAAAUUUUUAUUCGUAGAUCUAUUUUCUGGGGGUCAAAUGGCGAUUCCUUCUGAACAAUCCACAACAAUCUGCACCAACUGUGAUAAAACAAUCCCAGUCACAAAUAUCAAUUUGCAUGUUGCACAUUGCACCCGAAACUUAAAAAGAUGCAAGUUUUGUGGAGAAAUGAUUCCUAUAAGGCACUCUGAGAGACACUACUCAAGCAUACAGCUUCCGGUAAUGUUCCGUAGGAGGGAUUAACUAAUGUACCUUGAGAAUUAAAUAGGAAUUCUGAUUAAAUUAAUGCUGGCAGGUGGCCUGUAAAUUAUGCAGUGAGACAGUAGAGCGGACAAAUUUGGCUCUGCGCAAAUGUGAAAGCUGUCCGCUGAGAAUUGUUAGCUGCGAAUAUUGCAAUUUCCGGUUGCCUGCAGUAGAUCUCUUUGAACACCAGGCAGGAAUUGUGAACUUCUCUACUGCAUUUGUCAAUUUUCAAUCUGUUUAAUUACCAUCCUGCACCAAUUUUUAAGCACUUCUCUUUCAGGAAAUUUGUCGGAAUCAAAGGCAAAGUUGUCAUCGUUGCCGCGGCGGGAGGGACAUGCGAGCACAAGGGGCUCAAAGAAGAUGGUCGGCGAGUUCUUGGACGCCGAGGCAAUUUCUUAUAACAGUUGCUAUAACAGGAGCCGCUAUUUUUCUGAACUCGGUUUUCUUCCAAAGAAAGGAUGAUAAAGGACAAUCGAUACAGUGCAUUUGAGAAGAUUAUCGUCCUUUCUUUACUGUGAAGGAAUUGUAAACAAUUGUCCCUUAUCAUCAACCCUCAUCUCAUCUAUAAAUCUGAAUGCAUCUAUCCUCGCAAUUGUAAACAUGGUAUGAUAAAAUCUGUAUUGUAAACUAUUUGUUUUUUCAAAAUCAAG